GACGAACGCUGGCGGCGCGCUUAACACAUGCAAGUCGAGCGAGAACCAGCCCUUCGGGGCUGGGGAAAGCGGCGAACGGGUGAGUAACACGUGGGUAAUCUGCCCUCGGCACCGGAAUAGCCCGGGGAAACCCGGAUUAAUGCCGGAUAGCCUCUCCAGCCCUUGGGUUGGUGAGAAAAGGUAGCUUCGGCCUCUGGCCGAGGAGGAGCCCGCGGCGGAUUAGCUUGUUGGUGGGGUAACGGCCCACCAAGGCGACGAUCCGUAGCUGGUCUGAGAGGACGAUCAGCGACACUGGGACUGAGACACGGCCCAGACUCCUACGGGGGGCAGCAGUGGGGAAUCUUGCGCAAUGGGCGAAAGCCUGACGCAGCGACGCGGCGUGCGGGAAGAAGGCCUUCGGGUUGUAAGCCGCUUUCAGGAGGGACGAAGCCACUCGGGUUAAUAGCCCAGAGGGUGACGGUACCUCCAGAAGAAGCCCCGGCUAACUACGUGCCAGCCGCCGCAGUAAGAC
rnacentral:rRNA from 1 species